AUUGAACGCUGGCGGAAUGCUUUACACAUGCAAGUCGAACGGCAGCACGGGUGCUUGCACCUGGUGGCGAGUGGCGAACGGGUGAGUAAUACAUCGGAACGUACCCAGUUGUGGGGGAUAACUAACCGAAAGGUUAGCUAAUACCGCAUACGACCUGAGGGUGAAAGCGGGGGACCGUAAGGCCUCGCGCAAUUGGAGCGGCCGGUGUCUGAUUAGCUAGUUGGUAGGGUAAAGGCAUACCAAGGCGACGAUCAGUAGCUGGUCUGAGAGGAUGAUCAGCCACACUGGAACUGAGACACGGUCCAGACUCCUACGGGAGGCAGCAGUGGGGAAUUUUGGACAAUGGGCGAAAGCCUGAUCCAGCCAUUCCGCGUGAGUGAAGAAGGCCUUCGGGUUGUAAAGCUCUUUCGGCAGGGAAGAAACGGCCUAGGUUAAUACCUUGGGCUAAUGACGGUACCUGAAGAAGAAGCACCGGCUAACUACGUGCCAGCCGCCGCGGUAA
rnacentral:rRNA from 1 species